rnacentral:rRNA from 1 species
UACAGAGGGUGCGAGCGUUAAUCGGAAUUACUGGGCGUAAAGCGUGCGCAGGCGGUCUUGCAAGACAGAUGUGAAAUCCCCGGGCUCAACCUGGGAACUGCAUUUGUGACUGCACGGCUGGAGUACGGUAGAGGGGAUGGAAUUCCGCGUGUAGCAGUGAAAUGCGUAGAUAUGCGGAGGAACACCGAUGGCGAAGGCAAUCCCCUGGACCUGUACUAACGCUCAUGCACGAAAGCGUGGGAGCAAACAGG